rnacentral:rRNA from 1 species
AACGAACGCUGGCGGCAUGCCUAACACAUGCAAGUCGAACGGGAUCCAGGCUUCGGCCUGGUGAGAGUGGCGGACGGGUGAGUAACGCGUGGGAACCUGCCCAAUGGUCUGGGGAUAACCGCGGGAAACUGCGGCUAAUACCGGAUAAGCCCGAGAGGGGAAAGAUUUAUCGCCGAUGGAGGGGCCCGCGUCAGAUUAGGUAGUUGGUGGGGUAAUGGCCUACCAAGCCUACGAUCUGUAGCUGGUCUGAGAGGAUGAUCAGCCACACUGGGACUGAGACACGGCCCAGACUCCUACGGGAGGCAGCAGUGGGGAAUCUUGCCCAAUGGGGGAAACCCUGAGGCAGCAACGCCGCGUGUGGGAUGAC